GCGGCGAUCAGUAGCUGGUCUGAGAGGAUGAUCAGCCACACUGGGACUGAGACACGGCCCAGACUCCUACGGGAGGCAGCAGUGGGGAAUUUUCCGCAAUGGGCGAAAGCCUGACGGAGCAAUACCGCGUGAGGGAGGAAGGCUCUUGGGUUGUAAACCUCUUUUCUCAAGGAAGAACACAAUGACGGUACUUGAGGAAUAAGCAUCGGCUAACUCCGUGCCAGCAGCCGCGGUAAUACGGAGGAUGCAAGCGUUAUCCGGAAUGAUUGGGCGUAAAGCGUCCGCAGGUGGCUAUGUAAGUCUGCUGUUAAAUAGUCUAGCUCAACUAGAUAAAGGCAGUGGAAACUACAUGGCUAGAGUGCGUUCGGGGCAGAGGGAAUUCCUGGUGUAGCGGUGAAAUGCGUAGAGAUCAGGAAGAACACCGGUGGCGAAAGCGCUCUGCUAGGCCGCAACUGACACUGAGGGACGAAAGCUAGGGGAGCGAAUGGGAUUAGAUACCCCAGUAGUCCUAGCCGUAAACGAUGGAUACUAGGCGUGGCUUGUAUCGACCCGAGCCGUGCCGUAGCUAACGCGUUAAGUAUCCCGCCUGGGGAGUACGCAGGCAACUGUGAAACUCAAAUGAAUUGACGG
rnacentral:rRNA from 1 species